rnacentral:siRNA from 1 species
AGUCGGAGCUGGUGCAACAUACAG